AAGUCGUAACAAGGUUUCCGUAGGUGAACCUGCGGAAGGAUCAUCAACAAAACGAUAAAAUAAUAUUUACCAUUUGUAAAAUUUUUAACCAUAAAAAUAUCUAUAAACUUUUAACAAUGGAUCUCUUGGUUCUU
rnacentral:misc_RNA from 1 species